rnacentral:rRNA from 1 species
GAUGAACGCUGGCGGCGUGCUUAACACAUGCAAGUCGAACGAAGCACUUUAUUUGAUUUCCUUCGGGACUGAUUAUUUUGUGACUGAGUGGCGGACGGGUGAGUAACGCGUGGGUAACCUGCCUUGUACAGGGGGAUAACAGCUGGAAACGGCUGCUAAUCCCGAAUAAGCGAACAGCAUCGCAUGAUGCAGUGAGAAAAACUCCGGUGGUAUAAGAUGGACCCGCGUUGGAUUAGCUAGUUGGUGAGGUAACGGCCCACCAAGGCGACGAUCCAUAGCCGACCUGAGAGCGUGACCGGCCACAUUGGGACUGAGACACGGCCCAAACUCCUACGGGAGGCAGCAGUGGGGAAUAUUACACAAUGGGCGAAAGCCUGAUGCAGCGACGCCGCGUGAGCGAAGAAGUAUUUCGGUAUGUAAAGCUCUAUCAGCAGGGAAGAUAAUGACGGUACCUGACUAAGAAGCACCGGCUAAAUACGUG